UAAGGGACGUGAAGACUUCCGGACAUCAGCAGUGUUUUCCAAUUGCACAAGCGCUGUGGUAUCAACUAAUAAAGUGCUGGAGGGCACUUUAUGCAACAAGAACUGUUUAACUGUAGAAGAAAACAGCCUUGGGCAUAAGCAGAGGUUUCUGAAAAGUGGCGCCUUUUGGGAGGAAAGGAGAAGCAGCCAAAUGGAAUCCCACUGUUAACUGACUACAGCAAAGAAACCACCACCCUGACAUCACAAUGGAUGGC